rnacentral:rRNA from 1 species
GUUAAGCUCUUCAGCGCCGAUGGUAGUUGGGGGCUUCCCCCUGUGAGAGUAGGACGCCGCCAAGC